GGAGAGGUGGCAGAGUGGUCUAUUGUACCUGACUCGAAAUCAGGCGAUGUCAUACGGCAUCCGAGGGUUCGAAUCCCUCCCUCUCCGCCA
rnacentral:tRNA from 1 species